CUGCUGUGUGCUGUUAUAUGCUCAGUGCCACUUGCUAUAGGGUUGCAUACAGCUGUGUGGGGGGGCUUUAUUUUUGAUACCCACCCUUGACUACCCCCUGCUGCAGGGGCUUGCCCCAGCCCCACACAAUACCCUAGCCUGCAGCUGGCAUGCAAGUCUGUGCCCCCAGACAGGUGGGCUUCAUGUGGGCAGGAAGUAGCUGGGACUUGCCCCCCAUGCUUGGGGUAAGUGGGGCCUGAGAAGCAGGAGCAGUGGGCUGCUGCACCAGACCAUGAAACAAUUGUGUGUACAUACAUCUGUGUAUGUAUAGGUAUGUGCAUAUAUGUGUAGAUACAUGUGUGUGCAUGUGUAUAGGUAUGGAUGUGUAUAUGUGUAUGUAUAUGUCUAUAUAAGUGUAUGUAUAUGUAUGUGUCCAUAUGUAUGGAUAUAUGUCCGUCUGUGUGUAUAUGUAUGGAUGUGUCUAUGCAUGUGUGUAUGCACAAGUGGCGCAUGUAUGUAUGUGUGUCUGUAUAUAUGGAUAUGUCUGUGUAUAUGUGUAUGUGUGCCUGUAUGCAUGUGUAUGCACAAGUGUGGAUGUAUUAUGUAUGUGUGUAUCUAUACAGGUAUAUGCAUGUGUCUAUAUGUAGGGAUAUGUCUAUGUAUUGGAGCAUAUGUGUGCAUAUGCCUGUGUCUGUGUAUGCAUGUGUGUAUAUGUGUGGCUAGGUCUAUGUACAUGCACAUGUAUGUAUGUGUCCACGUAUGCCCACGUGAAUGCAUAUGCACAUAUGCGCGUGCGUAUCUAUGUGCAUACACGUGCAGGUACAGAUUUGCCAGACAUGCACAGACAAAUGCACACCCAUGCAUCCCCCGGGGGGCCGUGUGCGCCCCUAAUGCAUACAUAAGUGCGUGUGCCUGUGCAAGCCUGUGUGCGCGCCCAGGGCCUGCGCGCGCGGGCGGACGGUCGCACUGGGACCCCUGCCGGGCAGGGCAGAGCAGGGUGAAGCCCCCCCUGGCCCUCACGCGCAUGCGCCGGGGGCGUGCGGGCGCGGUGCGGUGCGGUGCGGGCGUUGAGGGCGGGGGCCGCCCGG
rnacentral:lncRNA from 1 species